GAUGAGCCUUUACUUGUUUGCAUGGCCCAGUUUCUGGCAUGCUGUGGACUGGUGCCAAUCCACAGACCGGGAGUUGGGGAUCCCUGAUAUAAAUAAUGGAAGGUAGUAUCCAAUGUUAUUAAUAUGGACACAAUAAAAGGUGUCC